rnacentral:rRNA from 1 species
UGAUUCCAUUCUUAUCGGUGGAUCACUCGGCUCGU